rfam:Schistosoma rodhaini strain Burundi genome assembly, scaffold: SROB_scaffold0001203
AUCCAUCUGACGAGACCCAAAUAGGAUGAAACGUGCGUCUUGGAU